rnacentral:lncRNA from 1 species
UUUUACUCCCAGGUUAGAAAGUCUCUGUUGAUAAAAGGUAUUUAGUUCACUGUGGUGACAAACUCAUUUAAUGGAUAGAUGAUCCCAAAGCUUUACACUGAUAAGUGUUUUUGUUGUUUUUAUUGCCAUAAAAGUUGGAAUUUACCUUAUUAGUAAAUCCAAAUGGUCUCUUCAUCCAGACCUUAAAAAAUCAUGAUACUCAUGUCUUGAAUACUUUCCUUACACUUUGUGAUCCAAAAUCAUCACCAACCAUCAUUUUGAUGGCUGGAACAUCUUCAUAUUUAAGUCAAUGCAGUCUUUGUGGUGGUCACGGAAGAAACUAGCUGCAAAAUAUUGUAAGUUGCAAGGCAUUUUCUUGAACAAUCUGGCAUAAGGCAGUAAACUCUAUGGCCCAAUUUUUCCUCCAUAAUAAAGCAAGAACAGAAAGCUGAGUUAAAAAUAAGCUGCUGAAAGAAAGCGAAAAUUUUCCAUCGCCGCUCUUCCCCCGUACCUGACUCCCACCUUUCAAUACAGCUAUUAAUCAAUCACUCCCUCGCUGAGCUCUCCUUCAGUGACAUCUGCUAUUUUGCUCUCCUUUGCCAUCAUGUUCAACUCAGAAGACAGCCUGGAAAUUCACGAUGGCCAGAUGAAUGCAUCUGGAGGAGAAAGAGGGAGAAAGUUGCUGUGAUGGGAGAGGCAUGAUAUAUUGGAGACGGUGUCUCCCUAUGUUGCCCAGGCUGAUUUCGAACUUCUGGGCUCAAGCUGUCUUCCGGCCUCGGCCUCCCGAAGUGCUGGGACUACAUGGGUGAGCCACUGCUCCCUGCCAACUUUUUGUUUUUUAACCUAACAAAAAUGUUUCACAAAUUAAUGCCAAAAUAAAACAAACGUUUAGCGGCCAUCAAAGCUAUGGAGAGACUCUAUUAUAACUUGAACCGCUGGGGACGUGCCGCCUGAGA